GGAGGGGAGAGGGCGGCGGUUCAGGGUGCAGAUGUUGUUACGGCCACCAUGUGGCAGCAGCGGCCAUUUCGUGGCUAAGAAAGAGCCCCGGUGGUGCCUGGCAACAAAAAGUACCCCUGGCUCAGGCUCUCUACACAUUAAUUCCACAGGGGCUGAACCUGGGACAUCCGAGCACUGCGGUCUCCUUCGACCCUUCGAUUGGAGUACUGCCUCUAGCUUCUGGCAAGAGGAAGUACAACUCUCUGUCUCUCCUGGGAGAUUUGCUGGUGACCACCUGAGAGAACUUGCGCUCUAAAAUCAAGUCCUGAACAGCUGGAGAAUGUCACCCCAAGCUGAUUAAAACAAACAAACAAACAAACAAACAAACAAACAAACAACAAUAACAACAACAAAGAAAGCAUAGCCAAGUAGGAAAGUCAAGACAAAGUUAAGGAUGACAGUGGUUGCCUUGCUUCUCUGUGUGCCUGCUUGUCUUUGUGCUCCAGUUUUGCUGGUACUUGCCGGAUGUUGCUUUGACUGAGGUCUGGCCGAGGCCCCAGGGCAUCUUAUAAGCCACUCCUCACCUGAUCAGACUCACUGGGCCGGGACCUCAGGAUGCUUCCCAAGGCUGGAUCUCCUAUCUCUACCAGUGGGACAACUGGCUGGAACGUAAGUGCCUUCAGCUGGUGAUUUACUGGGGAAGCUGGAAUUCAGUGCCAUCCUUCACACCGUCAGGAGGAGAAUGCUCUAUGAUUGGCUGGUGAGCACUUGCCUGUGAGAUCAAGGCUUGAGUACAUGAGUGCUGUGGUGGUUCAAAUAUGCUUAGCCCAUAGGAAGUGGCACUAUUGGGAGGUGUGGC